ACGGGAGGCAGCAGUGGGGAAUAUUGCACAAUGGGCGGAAGCCUGAUGCAGCGACGCCGCGUGAGGGAUGACGGCCUUCGGGUUGUAAACCUCUUUCAGCAGGGACGAAGCGUAAGUGACGGUACCUGCAGAAGAAGCACCGGCCAACUACGUGCCAGCAGCCGCGGUAAGACGUAGGGUGCGAGCGUUGUCCGGAUUUAUUGGGCGUAAAGAGCUCGUAGGCGGCUUGUCGCGUCGACCGUGAAAACUUGGGGCUCAACCCCAAGCCUGCGGUCGAUACGGGCAGGCUAGAGUUCGGUAGGGGAGACUGGAAUUCCUGGUGUAGCGGUGAAAUGCGCAGAUAUCAGGAGGAACACCGGUGGCGAAGGCGGGUCUCUGGGCCGAUACUGACGCUGAGGAGCGAAAGCGUGGGGAGCGAACAGGAUUAGAUACCCUGGUA
rnacentral:rRNA from 1 species